UACGUAGGAGGCUAGCGUUGUCCGGAAUCAUUGGGCGUAAAGCGCGUGUAGGCAGCCCGGUAAGUCCGCUGUGAAAGUCCAGAGCUCAACCCUGGGAUGCCGGUGGAUACUGUCGAGCUCGAGUCCGGAAGAGGAGUGUGGAAUUCCUAGUGUAGCGGUGAAAUGCGCAGAUAUCAAGAAGAACACCAAUGGCGAAGGCAGCACUCUAGAACGUGACUGACACUGAGACGCGAAAGCGUAAAGAGCAAACAGA
rnacentral:rRNA from 1 species